CACCGGGGCUCCGCGGGGGCUCUGGGCCCACCCGGACCUGGCGGGGCCCCCGGCGUCCGAGGCUUCCAGGGCCGGAAGGGCAGCAUGGGGGACCCCGGCCUGCCGGGCCCACAGGGCCUCCGAGGUGGAGUGGGCGACAGAG